rnacentral:lncRNA from 1 species
CUCGCCUUCGGGAUGACGUCAUGAACGUCCGUGUCCCUGACAGGCCACCUGUGGGUUGGUUUCGGCUUUAAAGCAGCUGUUCUCCCCUAGCCCCCGCAGCCACGUCCACUGCGUCUACACCGGGAGAUCGUGCCGAAAUUCCAGACCUGCCUCCCACUCUAGCAGCGCGGCCACUCCUAGGAUAAGACAGACCGCCCGAGAGAGGCAAGUAUUCAAGGGGUGUUUCACAAGAUAGCUUGUCAAACCCCAUCCCUUUCUCCGCGCCCCUGCUCUGCAGCUUGCUUGGUAGCUUUCUGGGGAGCAGCAAUGGGCCGGCAGCAGGGUGGUGAGGGGACUUUCUUCCAGAAAAAAAGUGGAGAGCAAGCCAUCUUUCUCCCGGGCUGUAGCAAUCUGUGCCAGGUAAAAUUUCAGCUAAAGAUCCUGUCCAGCCCCUUCCCCAGAUUAAGGGCUACGAAUUGGAGGAGCGGCUAGCUGGAGCCGAGACUCGCUAAUCCGAACCUGGGCUGCCCGGGAGGCUGGGGGUUGGGGUGGACCGCGGAGUUUGGCAUCGCUGACGGUAAGGUGCACGCCACCAAACUGAAGGGGAGGGAAGGAGGCUCUGGAGCCUGGCAGCAGAGCGCCCCAACCUGGUGCUUGCCAAUUCGAGUUGUGGGGACAUCUAGUUCUCCUAUCCACCCGGGGGUGAAGCCGCUUUGCUGUUUGUCUUGCUCUGUGGGAGUGAGAGAAGCGGCCCCACAAGCCUCGGGAAUAUACGCCCUCGAAACCCAGCCACUCCAAGCCCUCGGUCGCCGCUGCGCUCCUGUACUCCUUGUUUCUUAGAUUCCAGGUGCAGCAGACCUGUUGCGUGAAGAAAAGCGGCCAGAUUCGGCGUUCCACAAGAUCUGUGCACCGAGAGUUCCGGGACUGUGCUUGCAAACACUCUGAAAGCUCAGAACCGACCAGGGAGGGGUGUACGUGGAUGUGGAAAGUGCUGGAAAACAAAUAGGUAAUCAUCUCGGUGCGAAGGGCCC